rnacentral:lncRNA from 1 species
GGGUUGCUUGGGGGCCUUGUCGGUCUCGUGAAGGGGCGGGUCGAACGCCCGGGGGGAGAUCACAACGCGAGACGCGCGCCGAGGACUUUUCGCCCCGGCGUCCACCCUUCCUUCGCGCGUCGGGGACGGACCCACGCUCGACAGCGCUCACCUCGAAUAGCGCCGCGUCGCGGAGUCGGGCGCGAGGAGAGGGACGGAGUGGGAGGAGGGGCGCAGCGCGUCGAAUUUUAUUUUAUUUUUCAGACACGCGAGGCGGGAUGCGCGUCGCGCGGACCAAACAGGGCGC